UAAAGCGUGCGCAGGCGGUUAUGUAAGACAGAUGUGAAAUCCCCGGGCUCAACCUGGGAACUGCAUUAGUGACUGCAUAGCUGGAGUACGGCAGAGGGGGAUGGAAUUCCGCGUGUAGCAGUGAAAUGCGUAGAUAUGCGGAGGAACACCGAUGGCGAAGGCAAUCCCCUGGGCCUGUACUGACGCUCAUGCACGAAAGCGUGGGGAGCAAACAGGAUUAGAUACCCGGG
rnacentral:rRNA from 1 species